rnacentral:ncRNA from 2 species
UUGUUCUCAUUGGGGAGCCAUUUGGCUGAGAUUGUUAGGCAUACGUGCUUUAUAGCAGGACCCAUUGAACCUGAACCAGGUAAUGCUGGCGUAGGAAUUGAGAUGCUCGAACAU